AAUAAGCACAACCAUGUGUUUCCGUAUUUAAUUUUGAUCGUUCGUUUUAUUUGAAAUUUUUUAUAAUUAAUAUUUUUAUUGCUAUUAGAUUAUAAAACAUGAAUUGACUUAUGUUUUUUAGUUUUUCAAAAAAAAAUCAAAUAAGACGGACAAUUAAAGUUGGACACGGAAACUCAUAGUUGCAUUUAUU
rfam:Oryza glumipatula chromosome 1, whole genome shotgun sequence.